GGAAUCUUCCGCAAUGGACGCAAGUCUGACGGAGCAACGCCGCGUGAGUGAGGAAGGCCUUCGGGUCGUAAAGCUCUGUUGCCAGGGAAGAAUGUCGAGGAGAGUAACUGCUCUUCGAAUGACGGUACCUGAGAAGAAAGCCCCGGCUAACUACGUGCCAGCAGCCGCGGUAAUACGUAGGGGGCAAGCGUUGUCCGGAAUUAUUGGGCGUAAAGCGCGCGCAGGCGGCUUUGUAAGUCUGGUGUUUAAACCUGGGGCUCAACCUCGGGUCGCAUCGGAAACUGCAAGGCUUGAGUGCAGAAGAGGAAAGUGGAAUUCCACGUGUAGCGGUGAAAUGCGUAGAGAUGUGGAGGAACACCAGUGGCGAAGGCGACUUUCUGGGCUGUAACUGACGCUGAGGUGCGAAAGCGUGGGGAGCAAACA
rnacentral:rRNA from 1 species